CACGUAGGGCGCGAGCGUUGUCCGGAAUUAUUGGGCGUAAAGAGCUCGUAGGCGGCCUGUUGCGUCCGCUGUGAAAGCCCGGGGCUUAACCCCGGGUCGGCAGUGGAUACGGGCAGGCUAGAGGUGAGGUAGGGGAGAAUGGAAUUCCCGGUGUAGCGGUGAAAUGCGCAGAUAGUCGGGAGGAACACCGGUGGCGAAGGCGGUUCUCUGGGCCUUACCUGACGCUGAGGAGCGAAAGCGUGGGGAGCGAACAGG
rnacentral:rRNA from 1 species